ACGAAAGUGGGUUACGUACUAAGGAAGGUCCCGCCUAAAACCGGCCCAAGGUAUGGACUCAUGAUUGGGGUG
rnacentral:rRNA from 1 species